AGUGAACGCUGGCGGCGUGCCUAAUACAUGCAAGUCGAACGAAGAUCUAGCCUGCUAGAUCUUAGUGGCGAACGGGUGAGUAAUACAUAAAUAAUCUGCCCAUAUGACUGGAAUAACUAUUGGAAACGAUAGCUAAUACCGGAUAGGUUGAUUGGAGGCAUCUCUGAUUAAUUAAAGUAGGAUUUCUACACAAAUGGAUGAGUUUAUGGCGCAUUAGUUAGUUGGUGGGGUAACGGCCUACCAAGACGAUGAUGCGUAGCCGACCUGAGAGGGUGACCGGCCACACUGGGACUGAGACACGGCCCAGACUCCUACGGGAGGCAGCAGUAGGGAAUUUUCGGCAAUGGGCGCAAGCCUGACUGAGCAACGCCGCGUGAGUGAUUAAGGCCUUCGGGUUGUAAAGCUCUGUUGUAAGGGAAGAACAUUCAGGAUAGGAAAUGAUCUUGAACUGACGGUACCUUACCAGAAAGCCACGGCUAACUACGUGCCAGCCGCCGCAGUAA
rnacentral:rRNA from 1 species